rnacentral:sRNA from 1 species
GUUAAUAACACCUGGAGAAGGAUGAGAAACUUCGACCGAAGGUUCGGGUCGAACGCAGUGAGACAACGCGCGUCAGCGCGGCCCGCAGGGUGAGCCGCUUGCGGCGAAUAAUCCUUCUCCCGCCACCC